rnacentral:rRNA from 1 species
CCCGCUGAACUUAAGCAUAUCAAUAAGCGGAGGAAAAGAAACCAACAGGGAUUGCCUCAGUAACGGCGAGUGAAGCGGCAACAGCUCAAAUUUGAAAUCUGGCACCCGCCCGAGUUGUAAUUUGCAGAGGAGGCUUUGGAGUCGCCCCGGUCCAAGUUCCUUGGAACAGGACGUCGUAGAGGGUGAGAAUCCCGUACGCGGCCGGAUGGCUUCUCCGUGUAAAGCCCCUUCGACGAGUCGAGUUGUUUGGGAAUGCAGCUCUAAAUGGGAGGUAAAUUUCUUCUAAAGCUAAAUACCGGCCAGAGACCGAUAGCGCACAAGUAGAGUGAUCGAAAGAUGAAAAGCACUUUGAAAAGAGAGUUAAAAAGUACGUGAAAUUGUUGAAAGGGAAGCGUUUGUAGCCAGACUUGGCGGCAGUUGCUCAACCGGUCUUUGCCCGGUGCACUCUUCUGCCGACAGGCCAGCAUCAGUUCGGGCGGCCGGAUAAAGGCAUUGGGAACGUGGCUCCUCGGAGUGUUAUAGCCCUUUGCACAAUGCGGCCAGCCCGGACUGAGGACCGCGAUUCACGGAUGCUGGCUUAAUGGCUGCCAACGGCCCGUCUUGAAACACGG